UAGAGUUUGAUCAUGGCUCAGAUUGAACGCUGGCGGCAGGCCUAACACAUGCAAGUCGAGCGGUAGCGGGAAGAGCUUGCUCUUUGCCGACGAGCGGCGGACGGGUGCGUAACACGUAGGAAUCUGCCCGGUAGUGGGGGAUAGCCCGGAGAAAUCCGGAUUAAUACCGCAUACGCACUAGCUCUUUAAGAGCGGUGGAAAGCAGGGGAUCGGUUCGCCGACCUUGCGCUAUCGGAUGAGCCUGCGUCGGAUUAGCUUGUUGGUGGGGUAAAGGCCCACCAAGGCAACGAUCCGUAGCUGGUCUGAGAGGAUGAUCAGCCACACUGGGACUGAGACACGGCCCAGACUCCUACGGGAGG
rnacentral:rRNA from 1 species